AGAGUUUGAUCAUGGCUCAGAUUGAACGCUGGCGGCAGGCCUAACACAUGCAAGUCGAGCGGUAACAGAUUGAUAGCUUGCUAUCAAUGCUGACGAGCGGCGGACGGGUGAGUAAUGCCUGGGAAUAUGCCCUGAUGUGGGGGAUAACUAUUGGAAACGAUAGCUAAUACCGCAUAAUCUCUUCGGAGCAAAGAGGGGGACCUUCGGGCCUCUCGCGUCAGGAUUAGCCCAGGUGGGAUUAGCUUGUUGGUGAGGUAAUGGCUCACCAAGGCAACGAUCCCUAGCUGGUCUGAGAGGAUGAUCAGCCACACUGGAACUGAGACACGGUCCAGACUCCUACGGGAGGCAGCAGCGGGGAAUAUUGCACAAUGGGGGAAACCCUGAUGCAGCCAUGCCGCGUGUAUGAAGAAGGCCUUCGGGUUGUAAAGUACUUUCAGUUGUGAGGAAGGCGUUGAAGUUAAUAGCUUCAACGUUUGACGUUAGCAACAGAAGAAGCACCGGCUAACUCCGUGCCAGCAGCCGCGGUAAUACGGAGGGUGCGAGCGUUAAUCGGAAUUACUGGGCGUAAAGCGCAUGCAGGUGGUUCAUUAAGUCAGAUGUGAAAGCCCGGGGCUCAACCUCGGAACCGCAUUUGAAACUGGUGAACUAGAGUGCUGUAGAGGGGGGUAGAAUUUCA
rnacentral:rRNA from 1 species